rnacentral:rRNA from 1 species
AACGAACGCUGGCGGCAUGCCUAACACAUGCAAGUCGAACGAGACCUUCGGGUCUAUUGGCGCACGGGGGUGUAACGCGUGGGAACCUUCCCUUAUGGUCGGAAUAACUCCCCGAAAGGGGUGCUAAUACCAGAUAAGGUCUUCGGACCAAAGAUUUAUCGCCUUUGGAUGGUCCCGCGUUGGAUUAGCUAGUUGGUAGGGUAAAAGCCUACCAAGGCGACGAUCCAUAGCUGGUCUGAGAGGAUGAUCAGCCACACUGGGACUGAGACACGGCCCAGACUCCUACGGGAGGCAGCAGUGGGGAAUAUUGGACAAUGGGCGAAAGCAUGAUCCAGCAAUGCCGCGUGAGUGAUGAAGGCCUUAGGGUUGUAAAGCUCUUUUACCCGGGAUGAUAAUGACAGUACCGAGAGAAUAAGCUCCGGCUAACUCCGUG